AGUUUUGGAAAUUCCUUCAUGACUGUCCUCACAAGAUUCAUCAAAAUUACAGGAAUGCUUCUGCCAAGUGCCAUACAACUGAAAAGCAGCCUUGCAAAAACAUGAAUUACUGAUUUCAGGAUACUGAUACAAUUACUAAUUGUAGAUACUGUUGUCAGCAUCUCUUCCAUUUCGUCUGGCAUCCCUACUGUGAGAGGCUGGAAAGUGAAAAAACUACAUUGCCAAUGAGAGCUUGCAUUCCUCUGACAGCACUAUUGCUAGAAAAUCAGACCUUGUCCCAGCCUGUGGUAGCUACUGCAGACACCAAGAGGUUAUUGGCUGAGGAGGAAGGUAAAUCACAAUGCGGCAUGGAGGAGGAAUUCUCUGUCUCCAUGAGAUCUUGAUUUGGAGGCAUGUUGGAAGAUCCAGGACCUGGAACACAUUGAGGAAGAAGGCAGCGAACCUGUCUGGGUCCCGGAACGCCUGAUACAUCCCUGCAAGCCACCAGACCCUGACCCAGAGGAAACGUCAACCACAGAACAGGGGAACCAACAGGAGCCUCACAAGCCAGACCAAGCAAGUACACCCACAACUCCCAUUAACCAUGGCACCUUGGCCAACUCCCCUGGUUAGUAGCCUCCUUUUCCCCUCCUUCUUGCAUCUCGUACGGUCCUUGCAGCCAAUGACUUUUCUAAAUUGCUCCACCACAACCUGUUAUAUGUUACAAUGUUGGGAUAACAGUGCACUUUCAGCUGUUGUUAUGCAGGUACUCCAGUUCGCACCGGUUCCAGUUAUGGUGGACUCAGACGAGUUUCCUGUGAUCCAGCUCGGGCCAACUCUCCAAUUGGCUUUCAUAAAGGAAUGGGCAGGAACAGGGGCUCUGGCUACCAUGACUACACUUGCCGCAUUCGGCAGUCUACUUCUGCUCUGUCAGAUUCGCAGACAAAGGAAUAGGGACAAAGUACCAAACAAGCAUUGCUGAUCAUAAAAUCUGGUCAAAGCCCGGCAGCAUGGCUCGCCAUGCUGUGACACAGGUGUGGAGCAAAGCAUCGCAGGGGGUGUCGUCCUUGGCCAGGAGACACCCCGGUCCCCAUGUUGGUGAGCAUGCGGGUUGGGCUCGUAAAACAAUACUCCCGCCCCCUCCAAAAGAGCACCAACAAGUAGUGAGGCACUGUCAUGACUGCGCAGCAUGACACCUCACGAGGGGCACCGACCUCUGGAGACCCUGCGUCAGUUAUAAAGAAAGGGGGAGAUGUUGGGCGCAGGCGCUCAACAUACCAUACCCCAGCCAGGACUAAGGACCACGCCAGCUUCCGCAAUGCGCUACGUCCCUCUUUAAAUUAGCCAACCCGUGUGCACCCCGCGCUCUACUCCGUACUCUGUGGCAACUCCUGAUUGGCCACAGCUGGAUAUAGUAGCCAGAGCCUGCAUCCUAUUCCCGCCCUGCUUCCUUGUGGCAGCCUGUGAUUGGUCACGGCCAAAUAUAUAAACCAGAGCCCGCGUAAAUAAACUAGCAGUUAACUGUCGUCCACAAAAGCGUCUCCUGUCUCCUGUUUCAUUGGAGCUGCGCCGGUCACUGGGUUUUUCUUUAUGGAGACAGAUUUAUUACUGCCUCAGUUUCAUUGCCUUUUUAUAUCUUUUAGGUUAUGUUUUGAUACUUUAUUUCUUCUACAAUGUGUUGAAAUAUUUCCUUUAAAAUUAUUCUAAUUUUUGCAAUGC